rnacentral:tRNA from 1 species
GGGCGAUUAGCUCAGUGGAUAGAGCGUUGGUCUCCGGAACCAAAGGUCGCGGGUUCGAUCCCCGCAUCGCCCUCCA